ACGCUCGACACCUACGGGAGGCGGCAGUGAGGAAUAUUGGUCAAUGGGCGCUAGCCUGAACCAGCCAAGUAGCGUGAAGGAUGAAGGCUCUAUGGGUCGUAAACUUCUUUUAUAUAAGAAUAAAGUGCAGUAUGUAUACUGUUUUGUAUGUAUUAUAUGAAUAAGGAUCGGCUAACUCCGUGCAGCAGCCGCGGUAAUCUGAGCGGGCUGGCAAGGC
rnacentral:rRNA from 1 species